GAAAAUUGGGUAGAAUUAGAAACUAGAAAGUAAGGGAAAGAUUUGAGCUUUGAAGGGAAACUGAGAAGAGGGAAUUCGGAUUUGAGGUUUUAAUAGAUUGGGUUAAUGAUGUUCAUGGGGACGGUGAGUGAGUUUGUGAGUGCAGAGGGGCCGGGGGGGGAGGGGAGGGGGAGAGAAAGAGAGGAUUCCCGGCGCCAGAGCAGCCAUUGAUAGGAGCUUUGGGAAAAUUGGGUAGAAUUAGAAACUAGAAAGUAAGGGAAAGAUUUGAGCUUUGAAGGGAAACUGAGAAGAGGGAAUUCGGAUUUGAGGUUUUAAUAGAUUGGGUUAAUGAUGUUCAUGGGGACGGUGAGUGAGUUAGUGAGUGCAGAGUGGCCGUUGGCAACGGUAAGGAAUAGAGAAAGAGAGAUAAAGAACUUCAAAAAGAGGGAGAUUUUGGAACGUUGCGGCAACGGUAACAUAAGUGUAUGAAUGGGGUAGAUGGAUUCUUUAUUUGGAUAAUGAAUUGGAAGAAUU
rnacentral:lncRNA from 1 species